AGUAAAGAGGAAGGAUAAGCAUGGCAAGCUCAACUAAAAGAUAUCAUUUACCUCAAAGAAAUCUGAGAUUCGAAGAGCCUCUACUUUCCUAAAUGGAAACUGAUUAUUCAUGCAGAAUCCUGCUUUCAGAUUUGUUCUGUUGCUAGAUGCCACAGUUGGUGUGAAUUUCAAAGUCCUAUCAGAAUAGUGGCAAUUGAUGCUCACAAACCUGCUGAAUCUCCGAGGGUAUCUUUCUUCAAUGUCAGCAAGGAACGGCAUUCCUUCACUGCAAAAUUAGAAACUUCAAGUAAUUUAUGAAUGCAUGUUAAUGUUAUUUACUUUUGAUCUCAUUUCUGGAGUGUAAAUUUUGAUGCUGUUACCCUGCAAACCUAGAACAAAUUGUGAAUCCCUUUUUAGCUGUAUUAUUUUAUUCCCUGGAGUUUGAGCAUCACUGGCAAUAGCAGAAUUUGUUGCUCUUCUCAAAUUUGAGAAAGAUGGUGAGCAGUUUUCUUGAACUCCUGCAGUCCAUAUAAUGUAGACUCACCCACAGUGCUGUCAGAACGAGUUCCAUGUUUUUGAUCCAACAACUGCAAAGGCAAAGUGAUAUUGUUCCAAGUCAGAUUUGUUUGUGGCUGGGAAGAUGCUACUGCCAGCAUCUUUUUAGAUGGUAAAGGUCAUGGGUUUGGAUGAUGCUGUUGAAGAGGCCUUUGGAAAGUAGCUACAGUAUAUAGUUUAGGUGGUAUACAUUGCUACCACUUUGCUUUGAUGAUGGAGAUGGUUAGGCAGGUUGUUUUGUCUUGGAUGCUUUUGACUCCAUACAGGCAGAUUCCUAUCUUCUAACUGGCUCUUGUAGCCAUAGUAUAUUUAUACAGCUAUUUCAGUUUCUGUAGUAACCCUCAUGAUGUUAGUGAAGGAUUUAGUCGUGUUAAUGCCAUUUAAUGUUGAGGGACUGGUUGGAGAAGUUCAUUGUCUGACACUUGUGUAGUGUGAAUGUUAUUUGCUACUUGUCAGCCUAAAUCUGAAUGUUGUAAAGGUCUUCCUCGUUUGGGCAUGGGCCGAUUAAUUAUCUGGGCGUUGGGAAUGGUACUGAAUGUUGUGCAGUAAUCAGCAAACAUCCCUACUUCUGACCUUAAGAUGGAGGGGAGUUCAUGGCUGAAGCAUCAGAAGAUGGUUAUGAUGAUGACACCACCUUGAGGGAUGCUUGCAGAGCUAACUUGGAACUUGGAUGACUGUCUUGUAACAACUACAACCAUCUGAUUCAUAACAGGUGUAACUCCAACAAUUGGAGUUUCCCCCCAAUUCCGAUUGACUCCAGUUUUGUUAGGGCUCUUUGCUGCACUCAGUCAAAUGUAAUCCAGUGCCAAAGGCUUUUGGUCCCCUCACCUCCCCUCUAGGAUUCUGCUUUUUUUUUGUCUAUGUUUGAAUUAAAGUUUUACUGAGGUCAGGAGCUGUGUGGAUCCUGAUGGAACCCGAACUGAGCAUCAGUAAGAAGGUUAUUGUCAACAAUAAUGCUUAUAACACUGUUGAUAACAUCGUUCAUCACUUCACUGAUCAAGAGUAGACUGAAGAGGUAGUAAUUCACUGAGUUGGCUUUAUCCUUUUUAUUGUUCACAAACUUAGGCAAUUUUUCAUAUUGUUGGGUAGAUGCUAGGGUUGCAGUUGUAAAGGAAGAGCUGGGUUAGCGGUGCAGAACAUUCUGGAGAAUGUCUUCAGAAAUGCUGCUAGAAUGUCAUUAGUGCCCAUAUCCAGUGCCUCCAGCUUAUACUUAAUAUCAUGCAGAAUGAAUCAAAUUGGUUGAAGACUUGCAUCUGUGAUGCUGGAGACCUCUCGGCAGAAAUGGAUCAUCCACUUAGCACUUCUAGUUGAAGAUUGCUGGAAUUUUUUAACCUUUUUAUCUUUUGUACUGAUAAGCUGGGCUCUGCCAUCUUUUAAGAAUGGGCAUUUUGGUUGAUCCUCUUUCUCCAGUGAGUUUCUUAAUUGACCACCACUAUCUGUGACUGUAUGUGGCAAGUCUGCAGAGCUUCACUAUGACCCGAGUCAAUGGGAAAACCUUCUCCUGAAUUCCAGUGAUUUCAGUUUUGCCAAAGUUACUUCAUGCCAUACUUUGUCAAAAGCAGCUUUCAUGUUAAUGAUAGCCAUGAAUAACUUUCUCAUUGUAUUUUAAAUGUUGUGAGACAGUGAAAUGGAAGAUUAAAUUGUGAAUUCUAUCACUUGUUGGGUUAUUGGAUUUGUAGAUCAGAACGGGUCAUUGUGAACAAGGUACAUUGUAAAAAAUAUUGAUUGGAAGUACCAAUUAAUCUUCAAUCUUGUGAUCAAUAAUGAAUU